AUUAUUACAACUAUGAUGUCAUUGUAAAUAUUCUAGUUGCGAUUAUAAUGUAAAUAUUACCUCAUCGUUAUUUGCUGUUCUCAGUGGCUACCUGCUCGUGAAUAUUUUAAGAUUCCAUACAUAAAACAGUUUAAUAUUAAACGAGGUAAGGAGGCUGCAAACACAGAUUAGAUAUCACUCACAAACACGCCCGAGAUAAUGUUGGCAGAGUUGGCAGAGGCAGUUAAUUAGACUAUUACGAAACUAUACUUUUGUGCCGGCUUUUGAUUAAAUACUGGAAAAUUUU